AGGAGUCCAACGUAUGCGCGAGGGAAAGAGUGGCCAAAAACUCAAGUCCCGCAAUGAAAGUGAGCAGUGGCACGAGGGGAGCCGCAAGGCGUACCCGCAGUGUCGGCCGAUCGCGAACCCCUUAUGUGGCGAGCGUGUCGAGUUGGAGCGCAUCCGCUGGGACCCGAAAAGACAGUGAACUAUGAGUGAGUAGGGUGAAGCCAGAGGAAACUCUGGUGGAGGCUCGAAUGGGGUACUAACGUGCAAAAUUGUUCUUUGAACUUGCUCAUAGGGGCGAAAGACUAAUCGAACUGUCUAGUAGCUGGUUCCUCCGAAGUUUCCCCCAGGAUAGCUGGAGCUCGCGGUUAAUGUAAACAGUUUCAUCCGGUAAAGCGAAUGAUUAGAGGAACCAGGGGGCGAAAUGCCCUUUGCCUAUUCUC
rnacentral:rRNA from 1 species